CUCUGCUCAACUCCCCAGCCUUCCAUGACCCCAUCAGUCUGUGAGAUGCUCUUGCAACCAGCCCACUCUCCCUGUUCAUAAUGCUUCGUGGAGUUGAUAAAGGAAAUUUCAUAGUAUCCUGGAUUUGAAUGAAUCCACAGUCCUCAAGAAGAACUUAUUUAAAGAGAAUCAAGUUUCCUUGUUUUGUGCUUCUUUUAAAACUGCAUUUCUUCAGACAGGUAGCCCAGAUGGUUUCUCAAUGGAAAAUGACUUUUCCCGAAGACAUUCUACCAUAUCUGCAAUGUUUCUAGUGCUUACACAUUUGGGUGAAUGAAUAUCAACUUCAUGGUCAUCUUGGGAACAAGAAGUGUGGAGCCAACUCUUAACUCUGAUGUGAAAUCUCAUUGGCCAGUUGACUGCUUCCAAUAUGGGACAAGUGGGACACCAAUAUUCUGGGAAGGAGUAAACAGUAGCUCCAGAGAGGAGUAGCAAUUAUGGAUAGCGAGGCUGUGUGUGUGGUCUGGAGGGCCUUGCCACACAUAGCAAGGACAUCUGAGGCUCUAGGCCAGGUGUGUCAGCACACCUGAGCUUGUGGCAAGAUUUGGAAAAGAAGGCUGCAAUAAAAAACAAACCCAGGGCCAGCCCAUGGUUUCGCAGGUUUGGAUCCUGGGCGCAGACAUGGCACCACUCAUCAGGCCAUGCUGAGGCGGCAUCCCACAUAACACAACCAGAGGCACUCGCAACUGGAAUAUACAACUACAUACUGGGGGGCUUUGGGGAGAAGAAGGAGGAAAAAAAAAAAGAUUGGCAACAGAUGUUAGCUCAGGUGCCAAUCUUUAAAAAACAACAACAAUCCUCCCCCAGGACUGGCUAGAAUCAUUCUGUCCACACAGGUCUC
rnacentral:lncRNA from 1 species